GACAGAGGGUGCAAACGUUGUUCGGAAUUACUGGGCGUAAAGCGAGUGUAGGCGGUCUCAUAAGUCGGGUGUGAAAGCCCUGGGCUCAACCCAGGAAGUGCACUCGAUACUGCGAGGCUAGAGUAUCGGAGAGGUUGGUGGAAUUCUCGGUGUAGAGGUGAAAUUCGUAGAUAUCGAGAGGAACACCGGUGGCGAAGGCGGUUCACUGGCCCGGUACUGACGCUGAGGUGCGAAAGCGUGGGGAGCAAACAGG
rnacentral:rRNA from 1 species